rnacentral:misc_RNA from 1 species
GAAGAAUAAAGGAAGCUACUUAGAGAGGGGAAAGUCUUUGGUUCUUCAAAACAUCAACAUAUUAUAUCCAAAAAUUAUAAGUAGGAUAUUGCCGAAGACAUCAAGGCAACCAAGUAAAUUUGAAUCGUUCAUACAAACCUUCCAAAACAGAGUGGUGCAGACCCUUUUACAAUCACUCCCACUUACACAGUUAUCAAGAAAACUAAUGCAACAAUACGCCACAUCCAAAUUAGUCCUGACUACUAAAGGAAAUACAAAAGGAAGAGAAGACUAGUGAUGCUACAGUACAAAGACAAUGCAAAUAACUUAAACAAAAGUUUGAUGUCUAAUUCGGCAUUAUAUACAAGGAUGUGAGCAUGCCUUGAGGUCCUAAAUUGUUUGUGCCAUCAAUAAGAAAAUGAAAUCCUCUUGAGCUUAGAACCAGGUUUCAUGAGAAGGUAAAAAGUUUUACUGCAAAAUCUCUCUUUUGAAGUUACACAUACUCACUAAGUUAUAAAUAAUUUACCAUAAUAGACUGUGUCUUUCUGAAUUCACAUCUACGUGGCAAGUGGUCUUUAUUCUAGUUGGGAUUGGUAUCAUAUACUUCUCAAUAAGGUUUACAUAGUUGUUGCUUCAGUUACCAUUCAUAUAAUUAGCAUUUCUAAGUUAUUUAGAAAUAUGGUACAAGAAUACAGCAAUAGUGGAUGCAUUAGCAGCAUAGACACUAUGCAAAAUAUAAGUCAGAUGUAAAAUUGCU